rnacentral:rRNA from 1 species
CUUCGUGCUCAUAGCGCGGUGGACCCACCCGAUCCCAUCCCGAACUCGGAAGUUAAGCACCGCAGCGCCGAUGAUAGUUGGGGGGCAGCCCCCUGCAAAAGUAGGUCAGCGCGAGGA